rnacentral:lncRNA from 1 species
UCUCUUUCCUCUUCCUUCCCCUUUCUCUCUGAAUUGUUACUUCUUCUCCAGUUUCUUUCCCCAUUCUCUCCGAUUUCUUCCAACUUUCUUGCUUCCUUCUUUAUCCUGCAUCACUUACAAGGAAAAUAAAUUUUUUGACAUCAGCAAGGAAGAUUUGGAACUUGGUUAGUAAUAUUUAAUGAUGUUCAAAUGACUUCGAACCCCAAUUCAACUGUUAAUUCCCCACGCCAAAUUCUGAAAAGUCUUUGUUGAUUUUCUUUGCAAUGGUUGGGAGGGAAAAAUGUUGAGCUGUUGAUUUCCUUGCGUGUAACGGUUUUUAUCCUUUUUUCUAUAUGACAGGUGAUGACGAUGUGGUUAAAGAAACGGAAACUAAGAGUAUAAUCUUCUUUGCGAGUGGAUAAAACAACUACUUAGUGAUCAGAUGGCAAAAGUGCAAGUGUCUAAGCGUUUAAGCUUAUCACCAUGUGUGCUUGUUUCUAGAGUCUUGAGUGUUUAAGCUUAUCACACUUCGAGUCUCAAGUUCACAAGGGGAAGGAGAAUACUCGAGAUCAAUCCCGAUCACCCAAUGAAUGUAAGAUUUUAUGCUUUUGUUUGAAAAGUGUAAGUAGUAGAUGCUUUGUGAUCUAAACAAAGUUAAAAUAAUAGUUCGCAAUUUUAUAUAAUGUCUAUCUCUGAACAUUAUGUCUUCUUUUAGUUCCUUAAUGUUAUUAGAAAUAUUUUAAAACAUGAAGCUUGAAGCAUUUAUGUGACUUUUUAACUUCUAUAGCCUAAAUUUAUUUAUCUGCCUUUUUUUUAUAUUGCUUCAAUCACUAAAAUCAUUAAAUUGGAAACACUAGAAAACAUGAAUCUUAUAAAUUGUCAAAAGCUCAUCUUACUUUCUUGAAUGACCUUAUCGUUGGCGCUGUCGACCAGAUCUUAAUGAUAUACUGCAAAAGUUCGAUGCAGGCAUUCUUACUAUUGCUGAAUUGUUAAUUUUGCACCUAAUUUAAAUUUUACAUUUCAUUUUUUCAGGCUACAUGAAAGAAUGCGCCAGAUAGCACUGAUGCUAAGAGGGUUGUGGAACUUUUGUAUGAUACAGACUCGAUCUCCAAUGGGUUCACUGUAAGUAUGAAGGAAACUUUAAUUGCGUGUUUAAUAUAGUAGAUUAGACACGACUAAAUGCUAUCAAAGAAAAAUAGUUGAGUUAAAAUCUGAUCUAUUGCAUCGUCCAGUACAACUGAUUCGGUAAUAGUCUUGUUUAAUCUGCAAUUAACAAUUUUUUCCUUGAUUAUUGUCAAUGGCAACAUCGAUUUGAUGGCAAUGGCCCUUGGAGGAAGGUGGGGGCAGACUCAAGCAGAAUCCAAUGAAAAUGCUACAGAGUCUGACGCAAGCUCAUCUGAUGGUUCGAAAACUCAAGUUGUCGGGGCGUCAGAAGUGAGGACUGAGAAUGAGAUUUUUUUUUAUUUUUUAUUUUAUUUUAUUUUAUUUUUUGAUAUCCAAAUAUCCCAGCUUACACUAGACUAAAUCCUAGACUGAGAAUGAUUCUUGAAGGGCUUGAUGAGGGCAUCAGUUCCCCAUCUUUUAUCAGAUUUUUGGUACGAUUAUCCUCAACAGGUUGUUGGGAAUUUACUUAUCAUAUACAGCGAAAAAUAAAACAAAUUUUAAUUGCCAUCAAAGAUCUGUUUUGUCUUUCAAUAGAAAUUGUGAUAGAAAUUAUACAUUUAUCGAA